UGGGUAACCUGCCUUAUAGUGGGGAUAGCCUUUCGAAAGGAAGAUUAAGUACCNCAUAAGAUUGUAGUAUCGCAUGAUAUAGCAAUUAAAGGAGCGAUUCGCUAUAAGAUGGACCCGCGUCGCAUUAGCUAGUUGGUGAGGUAAUGGCUCACCAAGGCGACGAUGCGUAGCCGACCUGAGAGGGUGAUCGGCCACAUUGGGACUGAGACACGGCCCAGACUCCUACGGGAGGCAGCAUG
rnacentral:rRNA from 1 species